UACGUCACAGAGACAUUCCAGAGGAUUAAACUCAAUAGGAAGAUGUAAUCUAUAUGAAACCUGGUUUAUAAUCUCAUCUAACAAUGUAACACAUAAAAACACACAAGUGCUGACACGCUUUAUGUUUAAUUCCACAGCUCAGAUACCAGAAGUUUGACUUUCUCCUGCUGAAACUGAGUCACAUUUUAUUCCUACACGUUCAGUUUUACUCUCUAUUUUCCUCAUUGUUAAAUUAAGCAUUUAAAUCAUUCUUCCACCGUUAAAAUCACAACAAAGUGUCAUGAAUGAGCUGUUAACCCUCCAGUACCUCAACACCUGUACCUGGAUGACUUCACUGUUUGUCCACCUGAUGUUGUUGUUUGAGCCUCACAGAUGGAUCCAGGCUGUUUCAUUGUCUUGUAGACAUGUGAAGCCUCUCAGGUAUGCCGCUCAACGUGAGGAAAAAGAAAACAAGAAGACGGGUUGUUUUUCUCACCUGUUGGAGGAGGAGAAGCUGCUGCUGCUGCUGACAGGUGAGCCGACCAGGUGAGUCUGUUCUCAGAGAGGAUUAAAUGAAGUCGAGAAGAAGAGAAGACUUGUGACCACACUGAGUGGUCUCAGAUAUGCAGUCAGUGCAGAGGGGGUAAAACACUGUAUAGUGGGCGACCACGGGCGACGUGAUUGGUCGAAAGCAAACCAAUAGAAGGGGCUGGACAGAGAGAGAGAGAGAGAGAGAGGGUAAAACAAAACAAGGACGCCGCCCUCCAUGAUGUUUGCAUUUGUGGAAAAAAACUGUGUAUGUGUGUCAGAGGAUGUCAUGUGGUCUUUAUGAUCUCAAAACAAAAAGAGGCCAUACAUUGAAGCAUUAAAGUGUGUGUGUGUCUGUGUGUGUGUGUGUGUGUGUGUGUGUGUGUGUGUGUGUGAGGAUGUUUGUCUGCUCUCGGUUGCUCGGCAGCAGAAUAAACCACCACAUGAAGCCACAACACAGCGACACUUUGUCACACCCACAGGAAACGCUCCCAACAAACACCUCAGACUCGUUUGACUUUCCUGAGUCUAAAAACCUGAAGUCCAGUCGACGUCUCUGCAGCAGCCUGUUCAUCGGCCUUACAGCAGAACGAUUCCAGCAUGGAGGAGCAUUGAUGGCUGCAAUCAAACCAAACAAAAACAGCCUGGAGGAGAACGGGCGGGGAGACGCAUCACUGAUGAGCCAAACCUGUUUUUUUUCGUUAACAUUAUUCUUUAGAAGCGUCGCCUCCCACGACCCCCUGACAGCCCACAUACCUCAUCUCACCCUGAAACCUCCUCGAGGGCUGAAAGCAGUGACUAUGCUGGUGCUUGUGUUGGUACAAGUUACCUGAAAGAGUUUUUUCUUUACAUCUUCAUUCAUCCGUCCACUGUUCAUCUCGAUUUGUUCUUAUGGGUGCCUAACUUGUCUUUAUUUGUUGACCGCUGACUUUAUUUUAUACUAUUUAUAAUCUCUUAUUUGCCCUUUGGUGUGAAGCACAUUCAUUUAAUUUCAUUCUUUAUUUGUCGAGCGAGCAGGUACAAUGUUAAACAUAAUUGUUGCCGUUUGAUGCAUUGUAGCAGAGUUAGCUUACAGCUAAUUUUCCCAUUUGUUUGGAAAAAAAGUGCUUUAUAAAUAAAGUUAUUAUUAUCAUUAUUGUGUUUGGCAUUUGUUUUUGUACCCGUGUUGAUAAAGAAAGUGUCUGUCUCCUUAUUUUC
ensembl:lncRNA